rnacentral:rRNA from 1 species
GACGAACGCUGGCGGCGUGCUUAACACAUGCAAGUCGAACGGAAAGGCCCUGCUUUUGUGGGGUGCUCGAGUGGCGAACGGGUGAGUAACACGUGAGUAACCUGCCCUUGACUUUGGGAUAACUUCAGGAAACUGGGGCUAAUACCGGAUAGGAGCUCCUGCUGCAUGGUGGGGGUUGGAAAGUUUCGGCGGGUGGGGAUGGACUCGCGGCUUAUCAGCUUGUUGGUGGGGGAGUGGCUUUCCAAGGCUUUGACGGGUAGCCGGCCUGAGAGGGUGACCGGCCACAUUGGGACUGAGAUACGGCCCAGACUCCUACGGGAGGCAGCAGUGGGGAAUAUUGCACAAUGGGCGGAAGCCUGAUGCAGCAACGCCGCGGGCGGGAUGACGGCCUUCGGGUUGUAAACCGCUUUCGCCUGUGACGAAGCGUGAGUGACGGUAAUGGGUAAAGAAGCACCGGCUAACUACGUG